rnacentral:tRNA from 1 species
GCUGAGGUAGCAAAGGUGGUCAAUGCACUGGUCUGAAAAACCAGCGAUGACGGUUCGACUCCGUCCCUCAGCACCA